UGCUCUGUGAUUACGUGCCUGGAAUUGGCAAUAUACGCUAUUCCGAUUCAGAACAUGAAUGGAUAACUCUUAAGAGAAAUUAUGAGAGCAAUUAGUUUCUAAUUGUUGCUUAAUUUUUGUUUUCGGGUUUAAUAUUUAUUUAUUUUUACAAUAUUCUGCUGUGAUGAUUUCUGAAUUAAUUCACAUGUCAGACUUCAGAGGUUUUGUAAAAAAAUCAAUGAGAAUGAAAAUUCAAAUUAUCUGAGCAGAAUUAUUAUUUUUAUUUAUAUUAUGAUUAUUUUUUUGAAUUAUAAUUUUUGUCUGAAUGUAAAAAAAUGGAUAUCGAUGAUGACAAAAUGUAAGGCUUGUUUCUCAAGAACAUUCGCAGUGGCCGCCUAAGAGCUUUCGCCUUUCGCCGGGCUUGAGAGCUUAUGCUGCUUUUUUCCUUCCUUGGAUGUCUGAGAUU
rnacentral:sRNA from 1 species